GGGUGCUUACACAUGCAGUCGAACGAUGAAGCCCAGCUUGCUGGGUGGAUUAGUGGCGAACGGGUGAGUAACACGUGAGCAACCUGCCCCGAACUUCGGGAUAACAGUUGGAAACAGCUGCUAAUACCGGAUAUGCACUUGAACCGCAUGGUUACUUGUGGGAAAGAUUUUUCGGUUCGGGAGGGGCUCGCGUCCUAUCAGCUUGUUGGUGAGGUAAUGGCUCACCAAGGCGUCGACGGGUAGCCGGCCUGAGAGGGUGACCGGCCACACUGGGACUGAGACACGGCCCANACUCCUACGGGAGGCAGCAGUGGGGAAUAUUGCACAAUGGGCGCAAGCCUGAUGCAGCAACGCCGCGUGAGGGAUGACGGCCUUCGGGUUGUAAACCUCUUUUAGUUCGGGAAGAAGCCUUCGGGUGACGGUACCUUCAGAAAAAGCACCGGCUAACUACGUGCCAGCAGCCGCGGUAAUACGUAGGGGUGCAAGCGUUAUCCGGAAUUAUUGGGCGUAAAGAGCUCGUAGGCGGUUUGUCGCGUCUGCUGUGAAAACUGGAGGCUCAACCUCCAGCCUGCAGUGCGGGUCACGCGGCAAGCACCUUGAGGUUGCG
rnacentral:rRNA from 1 species